rnacentral:rRNA from 1 species
AGCGAACGCUGGCGGCAGGCUUAACACAUGCAAGUCGAGCGGGGAUCCUUGUGGUGUCAGCGGCAGACGGUUGAGUAACGCGUGGGAACUUGUCCUUCGGUUCGGAAUAACUCAGGGAAACUUGAGCUAAUACCGGAUACGUGCGAGAGCAGAAAGGUUUAUCUACCGAAGGAUCGGCCCGCGUCUGAUUAGCUAGUUGGUGAGGUUACGGCUCACCAAGGCGACGAUCAGUAGCUGGUCUAAGAGGAUGAUCAGCCACACUGGGACUGAGACACGGCCCAGACUCCUACGGGAGGCAGCAGUGGGGAAUAUUGGACAAUGGGGGCAACCCUGAUCCAGCCAUGCCGCGUGAGUGAUGAAGGCCUUAGGGUUGUAAAGCUCUUUUCUCCGGGAAGAUAAUGACGGUACCGGAGGAAUAAGCCCCGGCUAACUUCGUG